rnacentral:rRNA from 1 species
GGGGAAUCUUGCGCAAUGGGCGAAAGCCUGACGCAGCGACGCCGCGUGGGCGAAGAAGGCCUUCGGGUUGUAAAGCCCUGUGGGGGAGAACGAACCGUACGGGGGCGAAUACCCUCCGUGCCUGACGGUACUCCUUUAGCAAGCAUCGGCUAACUCUGUGCCAGCAGCCGCGGUAAGACAGAGGAUGCAAACGUUGCUCGGAAUUACUGGGCGUAAAGCGCGUGUAGGCGGUCUGGUAAGUCGGACGUGAAAUCCCGGGGCUCAACCCCGGAAGUGCGCUCGAUACUGCCGGACUUGGGUUCUGAAGAGGAGAGCGGAAUUCCCGGUGUAGAGGUGAAAUUCGUAGAUAUCGGGAGGAACACCAGUGGCGAAGGCGGCUCUCUGGGCAGAUACCGACGCUGAGACGCGAAAGCGUGGGAAGCAAAC